rnacentral:tmRNA from 1 species
ACCAAUAAUCCGUGCAAAAAAAUAACUGCAGACGUUAAAUCGUCUGAUUACACACUAGCUGCAUAAGCUACUGUGAAUCCGUUAGCCCAGGUGCCGCUCCCGGCCUGGGAUCUAGCGUCGACUAGGGGGCUUUUCACUUCAUUGGUGUUGCAGACGAUGAAGGAGAACAGUUUUGCAACUGAGUCUGUCGAGGAAAUGUGUGUAAAAACCUCGGGACUGAGAAAGCGUUAAUCACACUACGCCCGUAGAAGCCCUGUUUUAAUACCGAAGGACCCGGGUUCGAUUCCCGGCACCUCCACAA